AGUGCAAUAUAUCUUUGUUCACACUGCAGGCUGAAGUGACCCAAAUCCGAUGUUUUUCUGCCUUAAUGCGACCUGCAUCUGAUCUUUUCAUGACAGUCUGAACACCACAAACUGAAAUUUUUUUAAAGCGC